AUACGGAGGGGGUUAGCGUUGUUCGGAAUUACUGGGCGUAAAGCGUACGUAGGCGGACUGGAAAGUUGGGGGUGAAAUCCCGGGGCUCAACCCCGGAACUGCCUCCAAAACUUCCAAUCUAGAGAUCGUGAGAGGUGAGUGGAAUUCCAAGUGUAGAGGUGAAAUUCGUAGAUAUUUGGAGGAACACCAGUGGCGAAGGCGGCUCACUGGCUCGAUACUGACGCUGAGGUACGAAAGCGUGGGGAGCAAACAGGAUUAGAAACCCGAGUAGUCC
rnacentral:rRNA from 1 species